GCAGUCGUGGCCUAAUGGUUAGAGAGUCUGACUUGUAACCAGACGGUGGGUUGUGGGUUCGAGUCUCAGGUCCAGCA